GACGAACGCUGGCGGCGUGCUUAACACAUGCAAGUCGAACGGAAAGGCCCUGCUUUUGUGGGGUGCUCGCGUGGCGAAAGGGUGAGUAACACGUGAGUAAACUGCCCUUGACUUUGGGAUAACUUCAGGAAACUGGGGCUAAUACCGGAUAGGAGCUCCUGCUGCAUGGUGGGGGUUGGAAAGUUUCGGCGGUUGGGGAUGGACUCGCGGCUUAUCAGCUUGUUGGUGGGGUAGUGGCAUACCAAGGCUUUGACGGGUAGCCGGCCUGAGAGGGUGACCGGCCACAUUGGGACUGAGAGACGGCCCAGACUCCUACGGGAGGCAGCAGUGGGGAAUAUUGCACAAUGGGCGGAAGCCUGAUGCAGCAACUCCGCGUGCGGGAUGACGGCCUUCGGGUUGUAAACCGCUUUCGCCUGUGACGAAGCGUGAGUGACGGUAAUGGGUAAAGAAGCACCGGCUAACUACGUG
rnacentral:rRNA from 1 species